AUGUCUUUAUUGUGUGUGUAAUUUUCAGUAACAUUCUUCGUGCUGCCCUUUUCGUGUUUUAUUAACAAAAAAUAAAAUACGAAGAGGUCAGAAGUUGAAUACAGUCAUCAUUCGUCGAUGUCCACCGCACAGUGCAACAUUAAAAUGUAUUUUUGCUGUGUGUUAUCCUAAGAAGUCCUUCACGUUGUAUUUCCAGAAACAUUCUUCGUGCUGCCCUUUUCGUGUUUUAUUAACAAAUAAUAAAAUACGAAGAGAUCAGUAAGUUGAAUACAGUCAUCGUUCGUCGAUAUCGUACAACGCAAUGUCAGCGGCUAUUUUAUAAAUGUUAUUUUCUCAAUUUUCUCGAUCCCUGUGUAUUUUCAGAG